UACGUAGGGUGCGAGCGUUGUCCGGAAUUAUUGGGCGUAAAGAGCUUGUAGGCGGUUUGUCGCGUCGGGUGUGAAAGCCCGGGGCUUAACCCCGGGUCUGCAUUCGAUACGGGCUAGCUAGAGUGUGGUAGGGGAGAUCGGAAUUCCUGGUGUAGCGGUGAAAUGCGCAGAUAUCAGGAGGAACACCGGUGGCGAAGGCGGAUCUCUGGGCCAUUACUGACGCUGAGGUGCGAAAGCGUGGGGAGCAAACAGG
rnacentral:rRNA from 1 species